rnacentral:rRNA from 1 species
GACGAACGCUGGCGGCGUGCUUAACACAUGCAAGUCGAACGAUGAAGAAAAGAAUCGAAGCUUCGGCAGAAAUUCAUUUCGGAUUAGUGGCAGACGGGUGAGUAACGCGUGAGCAACCUACCUCUUACAAAGGGAUAGCCUCGGGAAACCGGGAUUAAUACCAUAUAACAUUGCGACGAAGCAUUUCGAUGCAAUCAAAGCUACGGCGGUAAGAGAUGGGCUCGCGUCCCAUUAACCGGAUGGUGAGGUAACGGCUCACCAUAGUGACGAUGGGUAACCGGCGUGAGAGGGGGAACGGUCAAACUGGAAGUGAGACACGGUCCAGAGUGCUACGGGAGGCAGCAGGGGGGAAUAUUGCACAAGGGAGGGAUCUCUGAGGCAGCGACGCCGCGUGAGGAAUGAAGGAAUUCGUUUCGUAAAACUCUGUUCUAUGGAAAGAAAAGGACUGGACCAUAGAAGAAAGCGCCGGCUCAAUACGUG